rnacentral:rRNA from 1 species
GACGUAGGGGGCGAGCGUUGUCCGGAUUCAUUGGGCGUAAAGAGCGCGUAGGCGGCCCGGAAAGUGGGGUGUGAAAACCCGAGGCUCAACCUCGGGCGUGCAUUCCAAACUCCCGGGCUCGAGGCAGGUAGGGGAGAUCGGAAUUCCUGGUGUAGCGGUGAAAUGCGUUGAGAUCGGAAGGAACGCCCGUGGCGAAAGCGGGCUCC